rnacentral:rRNA from 1 species
UACGAAGGGGGCUAGCGUUGCUCGGAAUCACUGGGCGUAAAGGGCGCGUAGGCGGCGUUUUAAGUCAGGGGUGAAAUCCUGGAGCUCAACUCCAGAACUGCCUUUGAUACUGAAGAUCUUGAGUUCGGGAGAGGUGAGUGGAACUGCGAGUGUAGAGGUGAAAUUCGUAGAUAUUCGCAAGAACACCAGUGGCGAAGGCGACUCACUGGACAUGUAUUGACGCUGAGGUGCGAAAGCGUGGGGAGCAAACAGG